CACGUGACACUCUUUGCCAAAGAAUUAAACACUUUCUCUCACUUUGACUGUCUCUAUGCCUUCACCGUGAACGUUCCUUAUUCAUCUUCUUCCCUUCAUUCAACGUUUUGAAGAAUUGCUUAGACGAAAGAUGGAGAUAGUUAGACAAGAUGAAUGGCAUAGAACAAACAUGGAUGAUGGAGAUAAUUAAACAAGUAGGAUGGCAUAGAAGGAACAUGGAAGAUGAAGAUAUUUAUGUGUUUAUGUUUCUGAUAUACUAGCAAUACUAUUUUUAAUUUGGUGUAUGGAUUAAGUCAUUGUGCUAUUAGUAAUCUUUUUUAUUUGGCGUAUGAAAUAUUUAAGCUAUUUGGUUGAUGCCACAAUUUAGGCUAUUUGACUAUUUUUGAGAACGCAGAAUUUUGAAGUAUCAGUAUGUAUACAAAAUUGUAUGUGCAGAACAGCAUGGAAUAAUUAAUUUAGUGAAUGCAGAAUUUAAGUUA